rnacentral:rRNA from 1 species
UGGGGAAUAUUGCGCAAUGGGGGAAACCCUGACGCAGCGACGCCGCGUGAAGGAAGAAGGCCUUCGGGUUGUAAACUUUUUUGAUCAGGGACGAGGAAGGACGGUACCUGAAGAACAAGCCACGGCUAACUACGUGCCAGCAGCCGCGGUAAUACGUAGGUGGCGAGCGUUGUCCGGAAUUACUGGGUGUAAAGGGCGUGCAGGCGGAUAAUCAAGUCUGAUGUGAAAUACCGGUGCUUAACAUCGGGGGUGCAUCGGAAACUGAGUAUCUUGAGUGCCGGAGAGGAAAGCGGAAUUCCCAGUGUAGCGGUGAAAUGCGUAGAUAUUGGGAGGAACACCAGUGGCGAAGGCGGCUUUCUGGACGGUAACUGACGCUGAGGCGCGAAAGCGUGGGGAGCAAACAGG